rnacentral:rRNA from 1 species
UACGGAGGAUGCGAGCGUUAUCCGGAUUUAUUGGGUUUAAAGGGUGCGUUGGCGGGAUGCCAAGUCAGCGGUAAAAAUGCGGUGCUCAACGCCGUCGAGCCGUUGAAACUGGCGUUCUUGAGUGGGCGAGAAGUACGCGGAAUGCGUGGUGUAGCGGUGAAAUGCAUAGAUAUCACGCAGAACUCCGAUUGCGAAGGCAGCAUACCGGCGCCCUACUGACGCUGAGGCACGAAAGCGUGGGUAUCGAACAGG